CAGAGGGGGAUAACGUUUGGAAACGAACGCUAAUACCGCAUGAUAUUAUUGAGCUGCAUGGCUUGAUAAUCAAAGGAGCAAUCCGCUGAAAGAUGGGCUCGCGUCCGAUUAGGUAGUUGGCGGGGCAACGGCCCACCAAGCCGACGAUCGGUAGCCGGACUGAGAGGUUGAACGGCCACAUUGGGACUGAGACACGGCCCAGACCCCUACGGGAGGCAGCAGUGAGGGAUAUUGGUCAAUGGGGGAAACCCUGAACCAGCAACGCCGCGUGAGGGAAGACGGUUUUCGGAUUGUAAACCUCUGUCCUCUGUGAAGAUAAUGACGGUAGCAGAGGAGGAAGCUCCGGCUAACUACGUGCCAGCAGCCGCGGUAAUACGUAGGGAGCAAGCGUUGUCCGGAUUUACUGGGUGUAAAGGGUGCGUAGGCGGCUUUGCAAGUCAGAAGUGAAAUCCAUGGGCUUAACCCAUGAACUGCUUUUGAAACUGCAGAGCUUGAGUGGAGUAGAGGUAGGCGGAAUUCCCGGUGUAGCGGUGAAAUGCGUAGAGAUCGGGAGGAACACCAGUGGCGAAGGCGGCCUGCUGGGCUCUAACUGACGCUGAGGCACGAAAGCGUGGGUAGCAAACAGGAUUAGAUACCCUGGUAGUCCACGCUGUAAACGAUGAUAACGAGGUGUGGGUGGACUGACCCCAUCCGUGCCGGAGU
rnacentral:rRNA from 1 species